UUUCCUUUCAAAAUCUUUGCAGCACACGUGGCUGGCAGCCACACGGUGCGAAGCACAGUUUAAGAUGAACAUGUUCUAGAAACGCUUUGGCUAAGCAUCUCCUCUCCUAUCGUCCCACAAUAACUAGAUGAUACAGAUGCAGUACCCUGGAAGUUUGGGAGCAGGCAGAAGCAGACAUCAUCUAGCUAAUGGACUUCUGGGGACAGAUCCAAAAUGGACAUCUGAAGACAAAGCCAGCCUUUUCUCCAAGUUAGCAUGAAGUGGAGGCAUGGAAAGCAGAGAGAAGCCAGUGCUUGAAUGGCCCAUGCAGCCAUAGCCCAUUUUCCCUACAGCUUCCCGGGCAGCCCAAA
rnacentral:lncRNA from 1 species